GAUGAACGCUGGCGGCGUGCCUAAUACAUGCAAGUCGAGCGAACGGACGAGAAGCUUGCUUCUCUGAUGUUAGCGGCGGACGGGUGAGUAACACGUGGAUAACCUACCUAUAAGACUGGGAUAACUUCGGGAAACCGUAGCUAAUACCGGAUAAUAUUUUGAACCGCAUGGUUCAAAAGUGAAAGACGGUCUUGCUGUCACUUAUAGAUGGAUCCGCGCUGCAUUAGCUAGUUGGUAAGGUAACGGCUUACCAAGGCAACGAUGCAUAGCCGACCUGAGAGGGUGAUCGGCCACACUGGAACUGAGACACGGUCCAGACUCCUACGGGAGGCAGCAGUAGGGAAUCUUCCGCAAUGGGCGAAAGCCUGACGGAGCAACGCCGCGUGAGUGAUGAAGGUCUUCGGAUCGUAAAACUCUGUUAUUAGGGAAGAACAUAUGUGUAAGUAACUGUGUACAUCUUGACGGUACCUAAUCAGAAAGCCACGGCUAACUACGCG
rnacentral:rRNA from 1 species